UUACUGCGAAGGGGGGACGGAGAAGGCUAUGUUGGCCGGGCGACGGUUGUCCCGGUUUAAGCGUGUAGGCUGGUUUUCCAGGCAAAUCCGGAAAAUCAAGGCUGAGGCGUGAUGACGAGGCACUACGGUGCUGAAGCAACAAAUGCCCUGCUUCCAGGAAAAGCCUCUAAGCAUCAGGUAACAUCAAAUCGUACCCCAAACCGACACAGGUGGUCAGGUAGAGAAUACCAAGGCGCUUGAGAGAACUCGGGUGAAGGAACUAGGCAAAAUGGUGCCGUAACUUCGGGAGAAGGCACGCUGAUAUGUAGGUGAAGCGACUUGCUCGUGGAGCUGAAAUCAGCCGAAGAUACCAGCUGGCUGCAACUGUUUAUUAAAAACACAGCACUGUGCAAACACGAAAGUGGACGUAUACGGUGUGACGCCUCCCCGGUGCCGGAAGGUUAAUUGAUGGGGUCAGCGCAAGCGAAGCUCUUGAUCGAAGCCCCGGUAAACGGCGGCCGUAACAAUAACGGUCCUAAGGUAGCGAAAUUCCUUGUCGGGUAAGUUCCGACCUGCACGAAUGGCGUAAUGAUGGCCAGGCUGUCUCCACCCGAGACUCAGUGAAAUUGAACUCGCUGUGAAGAUGCAGUGUACCCGCGGCAAGACGGAAAGACCCCGUGAACCUUUACUAUAGCUUGACACUGAACAUUGAGCCUUGAUGUGUAGGAUAGGUGGGAGGCUUUGAAGUGUGGACGCCAGUCUGCAUGGAGCCGACCUUGAAAUACCACCCUUUAAUGUUUGAUGUUCUAACGUGGACCCGUGAUCCGGGUUGCGGACAGUGUCUGGUGGGUAGUUUGACUGGGGCGGUCUCCUCCUAAAGAGUAACGGAGGAGCACGAAGGUUGGCUAAUCCUGGUCGGACAUCAGGAGGUUAGUGCAAUGGCAUAAGCCAGCUUGACUGCGAGCGUGACGGCGCGAGCAGGUGCGAAAGCAGGUCAUAGUGAUCCGGUGGUUCUGAAUGGAAGGGCCAUCGCUCAACGGAUAAAAGGUACUCCGGGGAUAACAGGCUGAUACCGCCCAAGAGUUCAUAUCGACGGCGGUGUUUGGCACCUCGAUGUCGGCUCAUCACAUCCUGGAGCUGAAGUAGGUCCCAAGGGUAUGGCUGUUCGCCAUUUAAAGUGGUACGCGAGCUGGGUUUAGAACGUCGUGAGACAGUUCGGUCCCUAUCUGCCGUGGGCGCUGGAGAACUGAGGGGGGCUGCUCCUAGUACGAGAGGACCGGAGUGGACGCAUCACUGGUGUUCGGGUUGUCAUGCCAAUGGCACUGCCCGGUAGCUAAAUGCGGAAGAGAUAAGUGCUGAAAGCAUCUAAGCACGAAACUUGCCCCGAGAUGAGUUCUCCCUGACUCCUUGAGAGUCCUGAAGGAACGUUGAAGACGACGACGUUGAUAGGCCGGGUGUGUAAGCGCAGCGAUGCGUUGAGCUAACCGGUACUAAUGAACCGUGAGGCUUAACCG
rnacentral:rRNA from 1 species